AGUAAAAAGUCGUAACAAGGUCUCCCGUUGGUGAACCAGCGGAGGGAUCAUUACCCGAGUUUACAACUCCCAAACCCCUGUGAACAUACCAAUUGUUGCCUCGGCGGAUCAGCCCGCUCCCGGUAAAACGGGACGGCCCGCCAGAGGACCCCUAAACUCUGUUUCUAUAUGUAACUUCUGAGUAAAACCAUAAAUAAAUCAAAACUUUCAACAACGGAUCUCUUGGUUCUGGCAUCGAUGAAGAACGCAGCAAAAUGCGAUAAGUAAUGUGAAUUGCAGAAUUCAGUGAAUCAUCGAAUCUUUGAACGCACAUUGCGCCCGCCAGUAUUCUGGCGGGCAUGCCUGUUCGAGCGUCAUUUCAACCCUCAAGCCCCCGGGUUUGGUGUUGGGGAUCGGCGAGCCCUUGCGGCAAGCCGGCCCCGAAAUCUAGUGGCGGUCUCGCUGCAGCUUCCAUUGCGUAGUAGUAAAACCCUCGCAACUGGUACGCGGCGCGGCCAAGCCGUUAAACCCCCAACUUCUGAAUGUUGACCUCGGAUCAGGUAGGAAUACCCGCUGAACUUAAGCAUAUCAAUAGCGGGA
rnacentral:rRNA from 1 species